UGCCUUUGUGUUGCCCGUUCAUUUUUCCAUGUGAUGAAUGUGGUGUCAUCUAAGGCACACAGUAAAUCUUUUCACGGCGUGGUCUGAGCCUGGAAGUCUUGCUGAUUCCUGCUGCUCCUGCUGUGACAAGAACAUUC